rnacentral:lncRNA from 1 species
AUGAGUAAUUGCAUCUCCAUACCAGAGGAUUUGCCCCUUGGAUUAUUCCCAAAAACUGGAAAAAGUUUGAUUCUCCUAAACCUUAAAAAAAAAAACAAAAACUAGUUUUACUUUGUAAUACUGUUUGACCUAAAAAUGAACUGGGUGAAAAUACAAACAUCAGCCUGAGACCCCAGUAACCUUAUGCAGGAAAUUCUCAAAUUAGCCUCUUCAGUCUUUUACAACUGAGAGCAGAAUAAAGAGGACAGAGGGAAAAAGAAGAACAAACACAAAAAUAAGAGGCAGGCUCAACUAUUGGCUGCUUUACAAGCUCUCCAGUCCCCUCCAGGUCUCCUAAGGACACUCCUCCAGGACUCUCAUGGCAACACAUAGUACAAACCAUGACUUCCUGACAGAAAGGGAAAUGACUUCUGUCUAAUUCAAAGAAUAUUAAGGUUUCUGAUUUGAAGAUUGUGACAUGAGAAUAGAGGAAAAACUUUCAGGACACUUAAGGAGAGCUGAAAUGUUCAUGAAUAUUAAGCAGAGCAUAAGUCAACUGUAUGGACUGACCUAAUAGAAGACUGAAAUAAUUCUUCUAUUUACACCUUUUAACAAUCGAGUAAAGUAUACUCCUGUAAACAAA